UACAGAGGUCUCAAGCGUUGUUCGGAUUCAUUGGGCGUAAAGGGUGUGUAGGUGGCGCGCUAAGUCGGGUGUGAAAUUUCGGAGCUUAACUCCGAAACUGCAUUCGAUACUGGCGUGCUUGAGGACUGGAGAGGAGACUGGAAUUCAUGGUGUAGCAGUGAAAUGCGUAGAGAUCAUGAGGAAGACCAGUGGCGAAGGCGGGUCUCUGGACAGUUCCUGACACUGAGACACGAAGGCCAGGGGGAGCAAACGGG
rnacentral:rRNA from 1 species